rnacentral:rRNA from 1 species
UUCGCCAGAGGACAACGAGCCACAGCUUAAAACUCAAAGGACUUGGCGGCGCUUUAAACCCCCCUAGAGGAGCCUGUUCUAGAAUCGAUUCUCCCCGUUAAACCUUACCCUCCCUUGUUAACCCCGCCUAUAUACCGCCGUCGCCAGCUUACCCUGUGAAGGACCAAAAGUAAGCACAAUUGGCAUAGCCCAAAACGGCAGGUCAACGUGUAGCGUAUGAGAGGGAAAGAAAUGGGCUACAUUUGCUGACACAGCAAAUACGGAUCUUGCAAUGAAACAAGCAAUUGAAGGAGGAUUUAGUAGUAAGGGGAGAAUAGAGCGCCCCCCUGAAAACGGCCCUGAAGCACGCACACACCGCCCGUCACUCUCCCCGCUCAAUAACUAACAAAUAAAUAAUAACUAUUACUGCAUCAAGGGGAGGCAAGUCGUAACAUGGUAAGUAUACCGGAAGGUGUACUUGGACAACC